GACGAGGGAUCCUAGCGUUGUUCGGAAUCAUUGGGCGUAAAGGGCUCGUAGGCGGUUUGUCGCGUCGGGAGUGAAAACACUGGGCUUAACUCAGUGCUUGCUUUCGAUACGGGCAGACUAGAGGUAUGCAGGGGAGAACGGAAUUCCUGGUGUAGCGGUGAAAUGCGCAGAUAUCAGGAGGAACACCGAUGGCGAAGGCGGUUCUCUGGGCAUUACCUGACGCUGAGGAGCGAAAGUGUGGGGAGCGAACAGG
rnacentral:rRNA from 1 species